AUUCCCAUCCUGCGGGCAGAAACAGGCAGGCAAAAAGUCUGUCUGAGAGUCACGAAACGCUGAUGAGAACGGAGAGGACAGGCUGGAUGAAGCAGAGGCAGGGGAGGAGUCCUGCUGCCAAGGUGAACCCAUAAAGCUCCGUGUUUAUGCCGACCUGCCGAACAGAAGCGCAGCCGCGGAUCGCGCGUCUGUCCCCCGGGUGACGGUGAGAGCGCAGCCGCCGCAGUCAUUCCAGACGCGGCCGGGAGGACGCGGUUUUUUUUCGCGUGUUUUUGUGGAAAUCUCGGGCUUAAAGUUCGCCGCCACGGAAUGAGUUGAGUGCGUUACUCUGUCGGGAACGGCGGAGGGACUCAAGAGCGGUGGGAGAACGAGGAGACCCACUGGGAUCUGAGGAGAAGGGAUUCAGCUUCCCAACAGCGAGGAGGGACCCCCCCUCAUCUCCCCGAAGUGACCAGCUGUUGGGCGGUGUGCGGAUGAAGCCAUCACUUCUGUGGAUUUUGGCGCUUCUGAUUGGAUGUCACCUCUGUUCAUCCAUCUAAAGAUCACAACCCGAAGGACGCAGCUUGUUUUUUCUCCGAGAGGAAAAUGUUUUCAGUCGUGUGAAUCCCGUGGAGCUCCACGGGGGCUUUAAGUGGAUGUUUGCCGCAGUAACGAGGAGGAAAACCCAGGUUUUGUCUGUGAGUCUUUUGGAAUAGCAGAGCGGAUUUGUGAGAAAGAAACAGAAACCAAGAAUGUUCCUAGGAAAUCGCGGUUAACGAGCAACACCUUUGAAACAUUUAUGGAUUUUUUUAGCUCUCAAAUGAAAGUGAAUCACAGACUAACUUAAUAAUGUAAGUUAUUUGGGAUUGCAAACAUGUGACAUUUGCUGUAUUUCUCACAACAGAACCCUGCUUCAAGCUUUAAUAACUUCCAAGGUUUUUGUCCCUUAGAUAAAUCCCGCCCUGUUGGAGCUUUUAUUGUUUGCGAAAAAAAGCAGUUUUUCAGAAUACUUCUGCCACAUGUUUUUGGCUCCCUUGACUGUAUUAAGAAUAUUUUUCAUCUUCUAAAAAGGA